GACGAACGCUGGCGGCGUGCUUAACACAUGCAAGUCGAACGGAAAGGCCCUGCUUUUGUGGGGUGCUCGAGUGGCGAACGCGUGAGUAACACGUGAGUAACCUGCCCUUGACUUUGGGAUAACUUCAGGAAACUGGGGCUAAUACCGUAUAGGAGCUCCUGUUGCAUGGUGGGGGUUGGAAAGUCUCGGCGGUUGGGGAUGGACUCGCGGCUUAUCAGCUUGUUGGUGGGGUAGUGGCUUACCAAGGCUUUGACGGGUAACCGGCCUGGGAGGUUGACCGGACACCUUGGGACUGCGAUACGCCCCAGUCGGCUACGUGAGGCAGCGGUGGCAAAUAUUGUACAAUGAGCGGAAGCCUGAUGCAGCAGCGCCGGGUGCGGGAAGACGGCUUUCGGGUUGUAAACCGCUUUCGCCUGUGACGACGCGUGAGUGACGGUAAUGGGUAAAGAAGCACCGGCUAACUACGUG
rnacentral:rRNA from 1 species